AACAUUUCAGUUAAUUUUCCCGAAGUUGAGUCUGUUUUGACAGUAACUGGUAUCCUGUCUUUUGUCUUUGUGCUGAUGGCGCAAAACAUGUCUAUCAAGUAAAAUCCUUUCCCUUAACAUUUAAUUGUUCCAUUGACUGCCUCCUCUAAGACUGGCUGAGAAAAUGACAUGUCCCAGUUGACAGCCCAUUUUCCAAAAAUAACAACAUGAAAAAGCAUGAAAGGCUUAACUGCGUUAAGAAGUCCUUCUCAGCCUGCAGUUUAAUAGAAAUUCUGUCAUGGGACAUCUGGGAGCUCAACUGAAUGAUAUUUUUAAAACAGCAAGAGGUCAGUGUUUUUUUCUGACAAUGUCAUCUUUAGAACAAGGAAAGGAGAAAAGGUUGCAUAUGACAUUAAGGAAUCUGUCUGGGAGAAAAUAUACCUGAACUCACCUGUAAAAAAUCAAAACAGUCUGAUGUCAAACUGUUGUGCUUUUACUGCUACACUUCAUUACUGAAUAAACCAGUUAUAGUAAGACUGGAUUAUCAAAGAAAUUGAGAACAGAACUUUCUUUUCAGGCUUAAUUUUUUCCUUUCAAAUUAAACAUGAUAUCUGAGCACAUUGCUGGUUAUUUGCAACCACCUUGUGCCUGCAGUAAAUGCUGAAUACACACAUUGCAGCACCUGUAUACUGUCUUGAAGACUUUGGUGGCCUCCUGAGGGCAAUAAGGAAUCUAUGCAAAUUAUGGUGGAAAACACUAAUAAAAGCCUGUCUUCAAAACAUCAUUAAAUUAUUUCUGGGUC